rnacentral:rRNA from 1 species
GACGAACGCUGGCGGCGUGCUUAACACAUGCAAGUCGAACGGUAAGGCCUUUCGGGGUACACGAGUGGCGAACGGGUGAGUAACACGUGGGUGAUCUGCCCUGCACCUCGGGAUAAGCCCGGGAAACUGGGUCUAAUACCGGAUAGGACUGCGCGGUCCAUGCCGUGUGGGGGCAAGAUUUAUCGGUGCAGGAUGGGCCCGCGGCCUAUCAGCUUGUUGGUGGGGUAAUGGCCUACCAAGGCGACGACGGGUAGCCGGCCUGAGAGGGCGACCGGCCACACUGGGACUGAGACACGGCCCAGACUCCUACGGGAGGCAGCAGUGGGGAAUAUUGCACAAUGGGCGCAAGCCUGAUGCAGCGACGCCGCGUGAGGGAUGACGGCCUUCGGGUUGUAAACCUCUUUCAGCAGGGACGAAGCGUGAGUGACGGUACCUGCAGAAGAAGCACCGGCCAACUACGUG